rnacentral:lncRNA from 1 species
AUGUUGGUCCUAAGAGCCAGGGGUGAAGAGGGGCUGGCUCUCUGUCCCCUCGUCGCGGGGGUUGCUUCCCCCCCUGCGAUGGAGGUCCCAAGAGCCAAGGGGGGAAGAGGGGCUGGCUCUCAGUCCCUGCCUCGCGGGGGUGCCUCCCGCCCUGGGAUGGGGAUCCAAAGAGCCAGGGGGGUAAAAAGGGCUGGCUCUCAGUCCCCGCCUCACAGAGGGUGCCUCCCCCCCCCGCGAUGGGAGUCCCAAGAAUCAGGGGGCGAAGAGAGGCUGGCUCUCAGCCACCACAAAAUGGGGGGCCUUUAUGUUCAGGUUUUGCCCAAGAGUCAGCUCAUUUGCUUCUUGUACUAGCAGGGGAGUUGCUGCCAAGGCCCUCAAACAGGGGGGCCAUCCUUUAGAAACCCUGUCUAGUUGUUCAGAGACAUAGGCCACCGGCCUCAUCCAAGGCCCCACAGUUUGGGUUAAAAGUCCACCUGCCAUCUUUUCUCUCUCUGACGCAUACAAUGGAAAAGGUUUUGUCAGAUCGGGUAACCCCAGGGCUGAAGCUGCCAGAAGUUUUUCCUUUAACUCAUGAAAGACUUGCUGUUGUUAGGAUCCCCAUUCCAAAGGUUCCCGGUCCCCGCCCCCUUUGUGACCUCAUACAAAGGCUUGGCUUAUAUUGCAAAGUUUGGGAUCCACAGUCUACAAAACCCCACAGCUCCUGAGAAUUCUCUCGCCUGCCUUUGGCCCUUAGGCUCUGGUAGAUUGCAAAUAACAUGCUUUCUUUCUGUUCCCGGGUGGCUUCGGACCCCUGUCGGAUCGGAAAUCCCAAGGAGGCGUCGGACCCCGUCCGAUAGUAAAUCCCAAGUAAGGUACCUGCCGUCGGCAGAUUUGAGCUUUCUGCCUGGACACCUAAUACCCACAGUCCUCCAGGCUCUGGUAGAUUGCAAAUAACCUGCUUUCUUUCUGUUCCCGGGCGGCGUGGGACCCCUGUCGGAUAGUCAAUCCCAAUUAAGGUACCCGCCGUCGGCAGAUUUGAGCUUUCUUCUUGGACACCUAAUACCCACAGUCCUCCAGGCUCUGGUAGAUUGCAAAUGACCUGCUUACUUUCUGUUCCCGGGCUGCGUUCUGACACCUGUUGGACAGUAAAUCCCAAGUAAGGUACCUGCCUUCGGCAGAUUUGAGCUUUCUUCUUGGACACCUAUACCCACAGUCCUCCAGGAGGGUCCUAAGGCUCCGGUAGAUUGCAAAUAACCUGCUUUCUUUCUGUUCCCGGGCUGAGUUCGGACCCCUGUCGGAGAGUAAAUCCCAAGUAAGGUACCUGCCGUCAGCAGAUUUGAGCUUUCUUCUUGGACACCUAAUACCCACAGUCCUCCAAUGUUUUAGACGCCCAGUUGCACAACUUGAUUGCCUUACAAAUGACCUGCUUCCAGGAUGCGGAAAUUCCUAAUUUCUUCUGUGACCCUUCUCAACUCCCCCAUCUUGCAUGUUGUGACACCUUCACCAAUAACAUAAUCAUGUAUUUCCCUGCUGUCAUAUUUGGUUUUCUUCCCAUCUCUGGGACCCUUUUCUCUUACUAUAAAAUUGUUUCCUCCAUUCUGAGUGUUUCAUCAUCACGUGGGCAGUAUAAGGCCUUCUCCACCUGUGGGUCUCACCUGUCAGUUGUUUGCUGAUUUUACGGAACGGGCGUUGGAGGGUACUUCAGUUCAGAUGUGUCAUCUUCCCCGAGAAAGGCUGCAGUGGCCUCAGUGAUGUACACGGUGAUCACCCCAUGCUGAACCCCUUCAUCUACAGCCUGAGAAACAGGCAUAUUAAAAGUGUCCUGCGGCGGCCGCACAGCAGCACCGUCCAAUCUCCGUGUCUUCUUAACUGUUCCAUUCCUUUUGUAGUGUGGGUUAACAAAGGCAGCAAGGUCAAAUAAGAAUGAUAUCACAGGGUGAACACCCAAAGUGAUAUUAGGAGUAAUACUCCCUAGGAUAUAGAAUAUACUGUCACAGAGUACACACAGAUGGGGUACACCCACUGUCAUAUUAGAAGCAAUAUCUCCCUAACGUAUGAGGAAAAAUAUCACAGGGUGUGCACACUGUGUGAUAUGAGGAGUAAUAUUUACCCUGGAUAUUACGACUAAUAUCAAGGGUGUACACACACGGGGUACACGCACUGUGAUAUCAGGAUUUGUAUCUCCCUAGGAUAUUACGAAUACUAUCACAGGGUAUAUACUAUGUGUGUACAUCCACUGUGAUAUUUGAAGUAAUAUCUCUCUAUGAGAUUGCAAAUAACAUCAAAGCGUGUACACCCCUGUGUGUACACAUUAGGAGUAACAUCCUUCUAGGGUAUUACAGAUAAUGUCACAGCGUGUACACCUCUGUGACGUUUUGUACACACUUUGUGACAUUAAAAGAAACAUCCCCCUAGGAUAUUGUGAAUAAUAACACAGGAGGGGUACACACAUGGUGUACACCGCCUGUGUCAUCAGGAGUAACAUUCCCCUAGGAUAUUAUAAAUAAUAUCACAGCAG